rnacentral:tRNA from 1 species
GGCUACGUAGCUCAGGUGGUUAGAGCACAGCACUCAUAAUGCUGGUGUCGGUGGUUCGAAUCCACCCGUAGCCA